rnacentral:rRNA from 1 species
CCUACGGGCGGCAGCAGUGGGGAAUAUUGCGCAAUGGUCGAAAGCCUGACGCAGCGAAGCCGCGUGCAGGAUGAAGGUCUUCGGGUCGUAAACCUCUUUCAGCAGGGAAGAAAGGUCACUGUGCUAAUCAGCAGUGAAUUGACGGUACCUGCAAAGGAAGCACCGGCUAACUCCGUGCCAGCAGCCGCGGUAAUACGGCGGGUGCGAGCGUUAAUCGGAAUUACUGGGCGUGAAGCGCGCGUAGGCGGUAUGUCAAGUCAAGGGUGAAAUCCCCGCGCUCAACGUGGGAACUGCGUGGGAAACUGGCAAACUGGAGUGUGGGAGAGGAUAGUGGAAUUCCAGGUGUAGGGGUGAAAUGCGUAGAUAUCUGGAGGAACACCAGGGGCGAAGGCGACUAUCUGGAACAUAACUGACGCUGAGGAGCGAAAGCGUGGGUAGCAAACAGGAUUAGAUACCCGAGUAGUC